rnacentral:rRNA from 1 species
AGUGAACGCUGGCGGUAGGCCUAACACAUGCAAGUCGAACGGCAGCACAGUAAGAGCUUGCUCUUACGGGUGGCGAGUGUCGGACGGGUGAGGAAUACAUCGGAAUCUACUUUUUCGUGGGGGAUAACGUAGGGAAACUUACGCUAAUACCGCAUACGACCUACGGGUGAAAGCAGGGGAUCUUCGGACCUUGCGCGAUUUAAUGAGCCGAUGUCGGAUUAGCUAGUUGGCGGGGUAAAGGCCCACCAAGGCGACGAUCCGUAGCUGGUAUGAGAGGAUGUUAAGCAACGAUGGAACUAAGAAACGGUGCAGACUCCUACGGGAAGCAGCAGUGGGGAAUAUUGGAGAAUGGGAAGAAGCGUGAUACAGACAAACCGCAUGGGUGAAAAAGGAGUUAGUGUUGUAAAGCCCUUUUGAUGGGGAAGAAAAGCAGCAGGUUAAUACCCGGCUGUUAUGACGGUACCGAAAAGAUAAGAACAGGCUAACUUCGUG